GAUGAACGCUGGCGGCGUGCCUAAUACAUGCAAGUCGAGCGAACGGACGAGAAGCUUGCUUCUCUGAUGUUAGCGGCGGACGGGUGAGUAACACGUGGAUAACCUACCUAUAAGACUGGGAUAACUUCGGGAAACCGGAGCUAAUACCGGAUAAUAUUUUGAACCGCAUGGUUCAAAAGUGAAAGACGGUCUUGCUGUCACUUAUAGAUGGAUCCGCGCUGCAUUAGCUAGUUGGUAAGGUAACGGCUUACCAAGGCAACGAUGCAUAGCAGACCUGAGAGGGUGAUCGGCCACACUGGAACUGAGACACGGUCCAUACUCCUACGGGAGGCAGCAGUAGGGAAUCUUCCGCAAUGGGCGAAAGCCUGACGGAGCAACGCCGCGUGAGUGAUGAAGGUCUUCGGAUCGUAAAACUCUGUUAUUAGGGAAGAACAUAUGUGUAAGUAACUGUGCACAUCUUGACGGUACCUAAUCAGAAAGCCACGGCUAACUACGUG
rnacentral:rRNA from 1 species